AAAAUUGAUUUUUUUUCUUUUUAUUCUCUUUCUUUUGGGUAAAACCAGAUGUUACAGAAAUGAGGUUAACAGAGGGGAAAAAAUGAGUCGUUAAUGAAAUCCAGAUGAUAUUUCGUUGUUUUACCUUUUGUUUCCUUUAAUUUUCUUCUAUGGGUCAGGAAACAUUUGAAUAAUCCAUAUAAAAGGAAAACGGCGCCUACUUUUAAAGUCAUUCGAGAAAAAACUAUUCGAGUAACCAAACGCUCAUUACUGUUUAUCAAAGAACUUCAAAUCCAAAAAGAAUCAUGAACAAGACAAUUAUUGGUUUUCUGUUCGUCUGCCUUGCAUUCAGCUUAGUUAUGGUUGAGGAAACAACAGCGAUGCAUCUUCACAACAGUGGGAAUAACAAUGGUGUUAUUCAGUUACUCGUUGCUGGUCUCGUUGCCAAACUGCUGCAAGAACAGAACAUCGGUUAAGAAUCAUCUCUGAAAUGAGAAUGUUUGUGUGUUGUUUCAAAAUGUUUUUCAAAUGUAGUGUAUGUAAAUAGUGCAUAAUGUACAUAAACAAAAAAGAUGAAAAGUUAGAUUAAAAAAUCAUUUCCAUUUUAA